rnacentral:rRNA from 1 species
AAAGAUUAAGCCAUGCAUGUCUAAGUAUAAACGAUUUAAUCGUGAAACCGCGAAUGGCUCAUUAUAACAGCUAUAAUUUACUUGAUCUUGACACAAUCCUACUUGGAUAACUGUGGUAAUUCUAGAGCUAAUACAUGCAUUAAAGCUCUGACCUCACGGGAAGAGUGCAUUUAUUAGAACAAAACCAAGCGGCUUCGGCUGUUUCUGGUUGACUCAUAGUAACUGAGCUGAUCGCAUGGUCUUGCACCGGCGACGUGUCUUUCAAGUAUCUGCCGUAUCAACUUUCGAUGGUAGUGUAUCUGACUACCAUGGUGAUCACGCGUAACGGAGAAUAAGGGUUCGGCUCCGGAGAGUUCGCCUGAGAAAUCGCGAACACAUCUAAGGAAGGCAGCAGGCGCGAAAAUUACCCACUCUCAGCACGAGGAGGUAGUGACGAAAAAUAACGAGACCGUUCUCUUAUGAGGCCGGUCAUCGGAAUGGGUACGAUUUAAAUCCUUUAACGAGUAUCUAUAGAGG